rnacentral:piRNA from 1 species
GGGAAUGGAUGCCCAGCUGAAGAUAUGGUC